UUUCCUCCUUUUCUCCUCAGUGCUGUUGGGGAAUCUCAGUGUCCUGAGAAGGGAGUGGAGCUUGUGACCUUUGAGUUAUAAAGGUCUAGAGUAUUCCUUGGAAUCCUGUAAUUCCACAAAGCAUAACAUCAAUGCCCAGAGGAACGCCUGAAGGGGUAAUCUUCAGGGUCCCAGCCCAGCAGUAACUUACUCCAGCAUCUUUCCUACUUAUACUGCAACUGGACAUGAAGUUGGUGGGAUCAUUGUUGUGCAAGAACUGAGACAAGUUUUGAGCCCCUGCUUUCCUCCACCUUCUCACCAAGUUAGUGGAGAGGUGAUCAUGCACCAAGAGGCACUGAGGGAAAUAUUGAAUUCCAAGGAAAGUUCUGUUUCAGGAGGGACACAGAAUACAAGGAAUCAGUGAAUAAACAUCUAAGCAAACUUCUUCACCCUGGGCUUUCCAAGCACAGAAAUAAACAUUGAGCUCAAGUACUCUGCACACCUUCUGAACCCUCCAGGAAUCUGAAAUGGCUGCUGUGAAGAAAUCUUCCUUCUUCUAGACUUUGGACCAGACAAGAAGAAGAGGAGAGGAGAAGGAGGAAGAGGAAGAAAAUAAUGAAAAGGGGAAGGAGAAAAAUAGGAUCAAGAAGAUGAAAAAGAGGAGAAGGAGAAAGAAGAGGGUAUAGAAGAGGAAGAAGGAAAAAUAUGAGAAAGAGAAGGAGGAGGGGGAAAAGGAAUUGGAGGAGAAGGAAGUAGAGGAGAAGAAUGAGAAAGAGGAAGAGAAGAAAAGGUCUCAUCUGGGUAGUGUUUUAAGGUUUACAAAGCACUUUGCUUACAACAAUCCUUUAGUAGUUGAUAUGCAAGUAUAAUUAACUCUAUAGAUAGAGAAACUGACAUUCAGAGAUGUGAAAUGAUUUGAUCAUGGUCACACAGUUAAUAAGUUUUAGAGUUCAAAUUCAAAUUCAGUUCAUUACACUCAUGGCAUUUUACAGCUCAAAGGGCCCUCAAAGAUCAUCUAGGUUAAACCCUUUACAGAUUAAUUAAACUGAGGCUCAGAGAGAUGGGCCAAGGUCCACAGGAGUGCUUACGCACAACUUUCUCUUUAACAGCACUAGAGAGCAAAUUGAGAAGGCCCAUUUUCUCCUCUAUCGUACUAUUUUACAAAGUCCCUCCUAAAUGGUGUUCAUGCUCAACAUUUCCUGGGACUAGACUAGUCUAUUAAAAGCAAUGACACAACCUGGCAGUACAGCUGGUCCCUUGAUUUCUGGGAAUUGCCACUUUUCUGGCUUGGACCUAUCCUUCAGCCCCAUAAACAAACAACAUAUUUAUGUUAAGUCUAAAAACUAGGAGUCUAGUUCCCAGGGAGUCCUGCCUCUCUGCCUUCCUAGAAGUUUCUGGGUUAUAUCCCUGUGAUUAGAGAGCUUCAUUCAUGCUCAAUAAUUCUCUUUUCCACAAGAUGUGCUUUGGGACUGUCACUGGGGAUACUUCUUACCCCUCCAGUGAGGCUCAAGAUAAUUGUUAGCAGGGAUCAAAAACAUUUUUAGAGACCCUAAAUCGGGCAUUUUUUUUUUACUUUGGUAUCUAUUUCCUAAACUAAGAGGAAACCCCACAAGUAGACACAUGUAUUAUUAUGGUUCUAGCUAGAGGCAGCCUGGGUUAAGGUAGCAAGUACUGGACUUCAAACCAGAGAACCCAAAUUGAAAUCCCAGUUUGGGGGUUUGCCAGUUAAAUAUCCCUGAACAAAUCACUUGACCUCUCUCUAAGUCUAUCUUUCUACUUUUGUUUCUUUAUCUAGAACCCUGUUACCUGUAUUGCAGGGUGUUUGUGAAGAAAAUGCUCUAUGAAACUAUAUAUGUGAAUUAGAAACUACUAUUAAUCUCAACCCUGAGUAAUUCCUACAUCUGUCCAUCUCUGUUCCUAUUCUGGAACCCCCGAAGGCAAUCAAAGAACCAUGCUGUUAAGUUACAUAAUAAAUUUGCACCUUCUGACUUU